AGAGAUUAAAGUGCGGUCUCGCUCCAGAGAAUAAGAGCUGUGAAAGGAGCCUCGAGAUGUGGGGGCGGCAGACAGAGCCUGCACCUCGUGGAGCAGCGGAGGCAUGAUGGAUCCUUGCUGUGACUGGUGCCUGGACAUCCCUGCCAACCACCUUGGAGAAUGGCACCUUCUGAGUGUGCCUGAACCACUCUUCUCCUUGGCUACCACUCUGAGUACUAUCCCUAGAGACUACUGGCCACACACAUCCACAGUCUCAAUGUCCACAGAAGA
rnacentral:lncRNA from 1 species